AACAGAGAGAAAUUUAUUUUAAUGGUAGUGGUCUCCAAAUCUGCCCACCUUUCUCAGCCCUCAAUGAACUGCAAUUCCCAGUAUUCACUCCCUUACAGAUCCUAGUCUACUUGAAUGUGGGUUGACAUGUGACUUGCUUCUGACCUGUUGAAGGCAGAAUAAGCAUCUUUAUGUUAUUUUCAAGGUUAACUCAGAAGAAGUCUGUGCUUACAUCUAUGUGUCUUGAAAUGCUAGCUCUAGGGGAAGCCAGCCACCUUGUAAGAAGUCCUACUACCUUGAAGCUGCCAUGGUGUGAAGGAACCCAAGACAGUUACAUGGAAAAGGAGAUCUUGGCUAGCCCCCAGUUAUUUAAGCUGUCCAAUUGCAAGCACCAGACAUCAAAAAGCAAAGCAAGAUGCAUCAUGAAAAGAUCACAUUUUCACAUUGGAAUUUGGGACUUAGUUGCCCCACCCCACCUAAAGCAUCAAAAGAAUUAGAAGCUAUAUCUUUAAUUUUUCCAAAUCAUCUAAAUGGAAGGAGAGCAAACCACAUGUCAAGGCCUCUACGGAAGUGACCUGGAACUCCAGCUGCAAACCCCAUGCCGUCAAAGCAGCCAGACUGGAAAUAGAGUGGCUGUGGGUACCCACAGGGAACCAGGAAACCACAUACUUCACAGGCAGCAGCAAUGCCAGAUGGAAGUGUAUCUGAGUAUGUUUAGGAAAAUAAACUAAAAACUGCUUUGGGAGAUGCUAGUUAAAGUGCAUCAGCAAAAGACAGAAGGGAGGAUUAGAACUGACAUGUUAGGGCUGUAGCACUGUGAGCAGACAUUUUUCUGAGAAAAUCCUGGGGAAAGUAAAAUAAGAAAAAGAGAAGAAAAAGCACAGAUCCACUAGAAGGCAUAUUCAGGGACCAUCAAUGAAUGGGUUAGUGGAGACAAAGCACCCUAGUAGCCUAUCGUUUUUCAAAUGGAGACAAAGAUGUGAUGGAGGUGUAAAAUACUAUGCAACAGUCAGAGGACUGAGGAUAUUCCUGGAACAACAUGGAUGGAGUUCCAAAAUAGCAGGAAACAGAUUGAGAUUUAUACCACAAUGCCAUUAACUUAUUUUAAAAUCACACUUAAUACUAUAUAUUUUACAUAGAUUGACACAAAUGAAAAAGACUGUACGAAGGAAGAAUUAGAAAGACUAACCUAAAACUGAACAAGGAUGCCUAUGGCAUGGGACAAGGGUAGGGAGUAAAGACGGUGGGGACAAGAGAGCCAAAAGGAGAAAUAAAACAAAAAUAUAUAAAAUAGAUUAUACAUGAUGAGAUGAGUCGCUAGAAUGUCAUUAUUGAGGUAUGUGGUUAAUUCUAUACUUCUAGUGAAAUAAGUAUAAAAAUAAAAAUAGAGUACUUCCCAUCCAGCACAGCCCCUUUCAGACAUAACUAUUUGUAAAUUUCCUUCAAUUCCCUGCAUAUUUUUUUACUUAGCUCUUUUCUACCAUGCACAUCCGUAAGUUAUUGCACAAUAAAUUGUUGUGGCUAGCAUUCGACAAAUUUCCAACAUUUCCAAAAUUUGUAAGUCGCAAUUUGCUAUAUAUGAUAAUGAGGAUAGUAAAACUGAAAUUAAAUGAAAGAACACAAGUACAACAAUAUUUGGUAUGUAUAACAUGCUUAAGUUUGAAUAAAUAUUAGCUCUUGUUCCUCCUCCUCUCUCCUUCAUAUUGACCUUCCUCUCUUACUACUGAAGUUUCUUCAGAUUCUUACUAUUCUCCCUGCUGCAUGACUUGGCAAAUAGCUGUUUUAACUCUGCCUAAUCUGUUGUUUGUUGCCACUCAUCACUGCUUUUAUUCAAUUCUUUUCUCUUUGUUAUAGCAACUACCGUUGCUUCCAAUAAAAACUACAGUCUAGAGGUCUAAGAAGGGAAGUGAGUUAAGAGCAUGGCAAAGUUCUUUUGAUGCUUGAAACUCCCAGCCCCUAGGUAUCUAGCACUUUAGCUCACCUCCAUGGGAUCUAUUGGACCUGAUAGAGAUACCCUCUCACCUAACUCGGGAUCUUUUUCACUUUGCCACAUUGGUUCUCAAUAAACCUUCCUAGCACCUCCUGGGCCAGUCACUCUCCUGGCCUUGCCCCCAGUGCGCUAGAUUCCACGAAUGGUGGUCAGAGCACACUAUCCUCGAAAUAUAGCACCUUGGAAUUUGAGGCAACAUCAGAAGAAAGAAGGUCUCUCUGACCUUUCUCUAAAGUAAGUCAUAAGACCCUCAUUCCAGAGGGGUCCUCUCUAUUCCAGGAAGAAAGGAAUGUUCUUUUCUCUAAAGACAUAGGAAAACAAGGAAGAAUCUAAAUGAACAGGCCUUGCUAAGUUCCCUUCAGUUUAUUACCAUAGAAUAUACUCUUUGUCCAAUUACACUUCUGUAUGAUUGUCCACUCUUUAUCAAACCUAAGCAUAAAAAUUACCCUGUUGUUUGUUCUUCAUUUCUGAAAGCUCCCAUGUCACAUAGAAAUUACAUGAAAUCAAUUUGUAUGCUCUUCUCUUAUGACUCUGUCUUUUGCUAUGGGUGCCUCAGCCAUGAACUUAGUGAUAGAUGAGGAAAGAAGUCUUUCCUUUCUGAUACCACCCUGCCACCCUCUAGAUUUUCUGGAAAGGAGACAGAUCUCAGCACAGUCCACUUGAGCUUUCUCAGGCACCAGUCUUCAUUCUCAACAGCUCAGAAUAAGUUUCAAAAUUACUGGGUGGGACCAUGGAAGGUCACCAACAGACUUGAGAUAAGAGGACAGAAAACUCCACCAUGCCCCCAUCAGCAACAUCAGAGAUAGGAGAAGACUCUAAGCUGUCUCCGAAGAGAUUUACUCAUAAAAUCCCUUCUCCUCCACUUUUUCAGUCCUCUUAGAUUGUGGAAGUGAUUGAGGAGGUCCAGAAGUCCUAGAAUAGUUCUCAAACUCUGUCUUUCAUAAUCCUUGUACUGUAAUGGAGAUGUAAAAUUUAGCAACUCUCUUUUGUGUCUAGUCAACACUUAAGUUGUAUCAUCAUAUUACAUAUAGAAAAUUAAAACAAAAAGAGGGUGAAAUUGGUUAUCAUUCUAAAAGACUUUUUAAUUUAUAGAUCAUAAAGACUGAAAAUUGAUAUAUAUAUUUUAAAAACAUGAGGUCAAUCUAAUAGCUAAGUAAUAAAACUUGUAAUCAAUAAAAAA
rnacentral:lncRNA from 10 species